rnacentral:rRNA from 2 species
GUUAUAUGGUCAAGUGAAGAAGCGCAUACGGUGGAUGCCUUGGCAGUCAGAGGCGAUGAAAGACGUGGUAGCCUGCGAAAAGCUUCGGGGAGUCGGCAAACAGACUUUGAUCCGGAGAUGUCUGAAUGGGGGAACCCAGCCAUCAUAAGAUGGUUAUCUUACGCUGAAUACAUAGGCGUAAGAGGCGAACCAGGGGAACUGAAACAUCUAAGUACCCUGAGGAAAAGAAAUCAACCGAGAUUCCCUUAGUAGUGGCGAGCGAACGGGGACUAGCCCUUAAGUGGCUUUGAGAUUAGCGGAACGCUCUGGAAAGUGCGGCCAUAGUGGGUGAUAGCCCUGUACGCGAAAAUCUCUUAGUCAUGAAAUCGAGUAGGACGGAGCACGAGAAACUUUGUCUGAAUAUGGGGGGACCAUCCUCCAAGGCUAAAUACUACUGACUGACCGAUAGUGAACUAGUACCGUGAGGGAAAGGCGAAAAGAACCCCGGAGAGGGGAGUGAAAUAGAUCCUGAAACCGUAUGCGUACAAGCAGUGGGAGCAGACUUUGUUCUGUGACUGCGUACCUUUUGUAUAAUGGGUCAGCGACUUAUUUUCAGUGGCGAGCUUAACCGAAUAGGGGAGGCGUAGCGAAAGCGAGUCUUAAUAGGGCGUCUAGUCGCUGGGAAUAGACCCGAAACCGGGCGAUCUAUCCAUGGGCAGGUUGAAGGUUGGGUAACACUAACUGGAGGACCGAACCGACUACCGUUGAAAAGUUAGCGGAUGACCUGUGGAUCGGAGUGAAAGGCUAAUCAAGCUCGGAGAUAGCUGGUUCUCCUCGAAAGCUAUUUAGGUAGCGCCUCAUGUAUCACUGUAGGGGGUAGAGCACUGUUUCGGCUAGGGGGUCAUCCCGACUUACCAAACCGAUGCAAACUCCGAAUACCUACAAGUGCCGAGCAUGGGAGACACACGGCGGGUGCUAACGUCCGUCGUGAAAAGGGAAACAACCCAGACCGUCAGCUAAGGUCCCAAAGUUAUGGUUAAGUGGGAAACGAUGUGGGAAGGCUUAGACAGCUAGGAGGUUGGCUUAGAAGCAGCCACCCUUUAAAGAAAGCGUAAUAGCUCACUAGUCGAGUCGGCCUGCGCGGAAGAUGUAACGGGGCUCAAACCAUACACCGAAGCUACGGGUAUCACGUAAGUGAUGCGGUAGAGGAGCGUUCUGUAAGCCUGUGAAGGUGAGUUGAGAAGCUUGCUGGAGGUAUCAGAAGUGCGAAUGCUGACAUGAGUAACGACAAUGGGUGUGAAAAACACCCACGCCGAAAGACCAAGGUUUCCUGCGCAACGUUAAUCGACGCAGGGUUAGUCGGUCCCUAAGGCGAGGCUGAAAAGCGUAGUCGAUGGAAAACAGGUUAAUAUUCCUGUACUUCUGGUUAUUGCGAUGGAGGGACGGAGAAGGCUAGGCCAGCUUGGCGUUGGUUGUCCAAGUUUAAGGUGGUAGGCUGGAAUCUUAGGUAAAUCCGGGAUUCUAAGGCCGAGAGCUGAUGACGAGCUAACUUUUAGUUAGCGAAGUGGUUGAUGCCAUGCUUCCAAGAAAAGCUUCUAAGCUUCAGGUAACCAGGAACCGUACCCCAAACCGACACAGGUGGUUGGGUAGAGAAUACCAAGGCGCUUGAGAGAACUCGGGUGAAGGAACUAGGCAAAAUGGCACCGUAACUUCGGGAGAAGGUGCGCCGGUGAGGGUGAAGGACUUGCUCCGUAAGCUCAUGCCGGUCGAAGAUACCAGGCCGCUGCGACUGUUUAUUAAAAACACAGCACUCUGCAAACACGAAAGUGGACGUAUAGGGUGUGACGCCUGCCCGGUGCCGGAAGGUUAAUUGAUGGGGUUAGCUAACGCGAAGCUCUUGAUCGAAGCCCCGGUAAACGGCGGCCGUAACUAUAACGGUCCUAAGGUAGCGAAAUUCCUUGUCGGGUAAGUUCCGACCUGCACGAAUGGCGUAACGAUGGCGGCGCUGUCUCCACCCGAGACUCAGUGAAAUUGAAAUCGCUGUGAAGAUGCAGUGUAUCCGCGGCUAGACGGAAAGACCCCGUGAACCUUUACUAUAGCUUUGCACUGGACUUUGAAUUUGCUUGUGUAGGAUAGGUGGGAGGCUUUGAAGCGUGGACGCCAGUCUGCGUGGAGCCAACCUUGAAAUACCACCCUGGCAACUUUGAGGUUCUAACUCAGGUCCGUUAUCCGGAUCGAGGACAGUGUAUGGUGGGUAGUUUGACUGGGGCGGUCUCCUCCUAAAGAGUAACGGAGGAGUACGAAGGUGCGCUCAGACCGGUCGGAAAUCGGUCGUAGAGUAUAAAGGCAAAAGCGCGCUUGACUGCGAGACAGACACGUCGAGCAGGUACGAAAGUAGGUCUUAGUGAUCCGGUGGUUCUGUAUGGAAGGGCCAUCGCUCAACGGAUAAAAGGUACUCCGGGGAUAACAGGCUGAUACCGCCCAAGAGUUCAUAUCGACGGCGGUGUUUGGCACCUCGAUGUCGGCUCAUCACAUCCUGGGGCUGAAGCCGGUCCCAAGGGUAUGGCUGUUCGCCAUUUAAAGUGGUACGCGAGCUGGGUUUAGAACGUCGUGAGACAGUUCGGUCCCUAUCUGCCGUGGACGUUUGAGAUUUGAGAGGGGCUGCUCCUAGUACGAGAGGACCGGAGUGGACGAACCUCUGGUGUUCCGGUUGUCACGCCAGUGGCAUUGCCGGGUAGCUAUGUUCGGAAUAGAUAACCGCUGAAAGCAUCUAAGCGGGAAACUAGCCUCAAGAUGAGAUCUCACUGGAACCUUGAGUUCCCUGAAGGGCCGUCGAAGACUACGACGUUGAUAGGUUGGGUGUGUAAGCGCUGUGAGGCGUUGAGCUAACCAAUACUAAUUGCCCGUGAGGCUUGACCAUAUAACACCCAAGCAAUU